AGCUAGCUAUUUAGGUUAGAGUUUGAUCCUGGCUCAGGACGAACGCUGGCGGCGUGCCUAACACAUGCAAGUGGAGCGACGACCCGGGCUUCGGCCCGGUGCAAAGCCGCGAACGGGUGAGUAACACGUGGGUAACCUGCCCUGAUGAUUGGGACAACCCGAGGAAACUCGGGCUAAUACCGAAUGUGCCCUCUGGCCGUAAGGCCUUUGGGGAAAGGAAGCUUCGGCCUCCGCAUUGGGAUGGGCCCGCGGCCUAUCAGCUUGUUGGUGAGGUAAUGGCUUACCAAGGCGACGACGGGUAGCCGGCCUGAGAGGGUGACCGGCCACACUGGGACUGAGACACGGCCCAGACUCCUACGGGAGGCAGCAGUGGGGAAUAUUGCACAAUGGGCGAAAGCCUGAUGCAGCGACGCCGCGUGAGGGAUGACGGCCUUCGGGUUGUAAACCUCUUUCAGUAGGGAAGAAGCGUAAGUGACGGUACCUGCAGAAGAAGCGCCGGCUAACUACGUGCCAGCAGCCGCGGUAA
rnacentral:rRNA from 1 species